AAGUAAAAAAACAAACGGGAACAAAUACAAUAUUUGUAUUUGCAUGUGGCCCGAGGGCCGUAGUUUGAGGACCCCUGGACUAGUCUUUUUUUUUCACUUAAGGAUGUAUUUUUUUUAAUUUAGUCUCAACUUCUAUAAUAAGUGUUUCUUUAAUGCACAUAAUUCUUCAUAGGUCCUGAAAUCACAGGGUAAAUUUUGAAAUUUUCUAGCACUAUCCAGAAAUAAUUGGUUAAAUUAUUAGUUAUUAAGUACAAAAGUGAUCUAAGAUAAAAUUGGUUUUAUAUGUCAAGAAUGCAUUAAUAGUGAAUUGUGAGUAUUGUAGACCAAAUUGUGUAUUAUCCAGCUAAGUAUGCCCAACUUCACAUUAGUUUUUGAAGGCCUGAUUCAAAUCUUUUUUUUUUCCUGAUUCAAAUCUUGAUCUGAAUAGAUAAUAGCCUUUUCUUCUUUUUUUGUUUACAUGGCAAUAGGAAGUUGUGCCAUGAAUCACUGAAAUCCCCCCAAUAAUUCAGGGACUUUUUAUUUUUUAAGAAAAUAGACUGGUUUUUGCUUAAUAUUGGUAAGUGAUAAGCUGCCAAUGAACAGGCCAAUUUUGGCAAGCAAUAGGGAAGAAGCAAAAAUGCUUAAAAAUUCAUAAACUAUGCUUAGCCUGUGGAUAAUCUUUAAUUGCCUAAUGUCUUUUAUAUUGCUCAUUAAGCAGAUUUUAUGUGAAAAGGGAUCUUGAUUUUAUGUUGACCAGGAACAAAAAGGUACUUUUAAAUAUAAUGGCAAUUAAAGGGAAAGAUUGUUUUAGAAAUACAUUAUCAGUGAUAUUUCAUUAAUUAAUAGGAAAUUUGGGGCUUCUGAUAAGCCUCUUCAUGUGUUAGACAAUUUAAAUCUCAACUAGGUUGAGUAAGGUCCAGCCAUCAUGAAGUUUGAAGAAAUAGAGAGAUGGUGGGCCCAAUCACUCCUCCCACACACAGUUAAUAAAAUUUUAAGUGGCCUGUAAAAGUAUUGAAGUAAUAAUUCACUAUGAAAAUAUCCUUCCUACA